CACAGCGCAUGCAAUGUGGACA
rnacentral:miRNA from 2 species